rnacentral:rRNA from 1 species
GAUGAACGCUAGCUACAGGCUUAACACAUGCAAGUCGAGGGGAAACGAUAUUGGAAGCUUGCUUCCGAUAGGCGUCGACCGGCGCACGGGUGAGUAACGCGUAUCCAACCUGCCCACCACUUGGGAAUAACCUUGCGAAAGUAAGACUAAUGCCCAAUGAUAUCUCUAGAAGACAUCUGAAAGAGAUUAAAGAUUUAUCGGUGAUGGAUGGGGAUGCGUCUGAUUAGCUUGUUGGCGGGGUAACGGCCCACCAAGGCGACGAUCAGUAGGGGUUCUGAGAGGAAGGUCCCCCACAUUGGAACUGAGACACGGUCCAAACUCGUACGGGAGGCAGCAGUGAGGAAUAUUGGUCAAUGGGCGAGAGCCUGAACCAGCCAAGUAGCGUGCAGGAUGACGGCCCUAUGGGUUGUAAACUGCUUUUAUAAGGGAAUAAAGUGAGCCUCGCGAGGCUUUUUGCAUGUACCUUAUGAAUAAGGACCGGCUAAUUCCGUGCCAGCAGCCGCCGUAA